CCAUGAUGGUGCCUUUUUCACAUCUUCUGCAAGUUUAUGUGACGACCUGUUAAAAGUUUAACAUUGACACGCGCCAGUUCAUGUGUCAACGAGCGCAAGUUGUGAAAGAUGGCUUGGAAAAAUUCAGUUCAGAGUUCAAAGCGCCACCUUGCAACAAACAGCGCCAUGGAAACAGCUGUGGAGUGUUUGCAUUGAUGACUGCCAAAUGUUUGGUCAUGAAAAAGCAUCCCACAAUGUUGUGACAGGCCCAUGAUUCAGUUUAUCGAGGCUAGUCGUGAGACGCAGACUUCUGAUUCAUGGAGUGUGGCAAACAUGUCUGUGCGACUCGAUCACACCACUGUAAAGCCCGGCACGGCAUUAAAAUGGAUAUUAUCAAUAUGUGUUGUUGCUCGAAAAUAUGUUUUUGUAGCAGUAAGUGCUUUGGGCUCGAUUAAUCUGAAAACUCAACAAAAUAUUAAUAAAAUCCUUCAGUGCCUUUUAGUUCUGAAAACAGAAGUAGCCAGUUGGUAUUACACAUCUCCUUAACAAGUACAGCACAAUAAAACUUAAGGUUUUAUAAUCCUAAAUUUUUAUAACAUCUUUAUAUCCACACAAAAAUAUUGAUAAUUGUGGUGCUCAGAUUGCAAAACCACCUGUUUGGCAAAAAUAAUGCAGAUGGUUAGAUUAUGAUAAGUGCAAGAAAAAAAGAAUAACUCGGGAGAUAAUAAUUGAUAUGAUAAUCAUUGCUUGACAGAAUCACAAUUGACCUAGAUAUUUAUUUAUGUAGUGGUGUAUUUUUCAAUGAGUGCCUUAAGAUUCCAAAAACAUAUUGACUUAAAAUAAAUAAUCCCGAUGGCGUAAAUGACUUAUCAUUUCGUGUUCAUGAACCGGUUUUAAAAUACUUUGUAGACUUAUCUGCUAGGCGGUGAGGACUUUUAGACCACCUGAUAAACUUCAACUUUAUUUGCCCUAGUUCAGUAACCGACUAAAGAUAUGCGAACAUAAUACUGAUGACUGAUGAAUCUGUUGUGUCUUAUAUUCUCAUUGCUACUUAAAAUAUUAAGUCUAUUUCAACGUUUAGACUAAUAAUAAGCAAAUUCGUUAAAUUGAUAUCCCCCGCCAAAUAAAUUUUGAUUAUUGAUGGGUGCAGAACUAACAGAAAAGUUUAUUUGAAGGGUUGUACCCUUAUCUCACUUAUUUAAAAGUAACAACAUAAAAAAGCGAUUGGCAAUAACUCUUAUUUAAGAAAGUAGGGUUAUAGAUUUUGUGCAUGACACCUCUCCUCAUUGAUAUCUUAAUAUCCAUUAAAUUUCAUCUUUA